rnacentral:misc_RNA from 1 species
GCACAUUGCUGUAAAUCAGCCACCGAGAAUGAUCGCCAAGGAGAGAAUUUUUGCUGUGGAGAUGGCAACGAAGCUAGAUUAUUGUAAGAAGCCAUGGAUCGUGGAUGCAGAGGAGGAAGAUGCUGAGACUUUGAAUUUGAGCUAGAAGUGGAAUCGUCACUUGUGCUACCGGUACUCUCAGAGUUACUCAUAGCAACUGCUAGAGCCAAUGUGCUUCGACUUGAGCUAAUUGGUCUUUUAGAUAUCCCACCCCCAUUACUUCGGUGAGGGAAACAUCUAUUCUUGUCCAACACAUGACUGAGGGCAAGUAAAUUUCUGCGUCUCCUUGAGUAUGCAUUAUCUGGUUUUGCUAUAUCUUUAAUACAGGGAGAAUAUGAUGCCUCAGCCAGACUGGUGAAGGACUUUGAUUUACCAUUGUAAAAUACUGAUAUACCUCUCCUCAUGGGCAAAGCCUCCUCCAAGGCAUCCAUGGAUUUAAGCGUUCCCUUGUACGCGCUUUGCACCUCAUUUUCCUCCUCACAAUUUUCGCCAUCCGAUGAAUCUCUCCCCGACAGAUCGCUAUUCUUUCCGAUGGACGAUGUCGUUGAUGAUGCCGAUGUGCUACAUUCAUUCACCUCCGCCGCCUCCUCCUUCUUAUCCACCGCUCUCCUCUCCGCCUGCGACUCGAAGAUCGCCGGCGUGGCGACGCACGCAAUCCCUCCGCGCGGAUAUCUAGAAGGUUCGAUCUCUUUCAUCCCUCGACUACUUUCUAAAGCGAUAGACAUAGCAACCAAAAUCUCUUCCUCUUGUUGAAAUUCGAAACUGUAAGAAGCAAAGAUGGGAAUUUGGAAAGCUGGUUUUGUCCUCCGAGCAAACGGAUUACAGAUUACAUAAAGAAACGAUUUGUUGAUUUCUGAUAAAUAUGCAUUUGCUUAGAGAGAGAAAAUUAAAAUUAAAAAAAAAAAGAAUUUUGAUUAUU